AAGACCAUUCCUCAUCCCACACUUGGGAUCAUAACAAAAACAGGUUUAUCUCUCCUUCACUUAAUGGUCUUCUUGUAGGUUUCUAGGACCCUCUGGAUCCUUCUAUUUCCCCAUUCUCCCUUACCUCUCUUACCUCGAGUCCCAAUAGGAAGUCCCAGUAUCUAUCCCAAUCUCCUGCUAAGUGAAUACUUUCAGGGGACAUCUCUGUUGCGCUAGUGCCCAAUUAUAAGUGAGUAUAUGCCAUGUGUAUCUUUCUGGGUCUGGGUUAACUCACUCAGGAUAUCAUUUCUAGUUCCAUCCAUUUGCCUGCAAAUUUCAGCAUUUCCUUGUUUUUAAAAGCUGAGUAGUAUUCCAUAGUGUAAAUUUACCAGUUUCUUUAUCCAUUCUUCAACUGAGGGACAUCUAGGUUGUUUCCAGCUUCCUCCUGUUUUUCUUAGCUUCACUUGGAAAUGUUCAUUGCAGUGAGUCAUUGGUCUGGUUUGAGGUCUCUGGCUGCUACCACACUUUAAAUACUGAUCCUCACCAGGACUUCUCUCAGAUAUCCUGUUGUUGCUCUGUUUCAUGGAGAUCUUGCAGGGCUGUCUCCUUCACAUGGUCAGCAGUUACAGAUGGAGUAGAUGCUGGGGUGGGCUAACUCCAAGUCCUGGAGCUGGGCCUGCGUGGUGGCUGAGUUGGUUUGCUCGCCAGCUCUCCUGCCCCUACACCAUCAGGGCCAGCUCUCCUGCCCCCACACCAUCAGGGCCAGCUCUCCUGCCCCCACACCAUCAGGGCCAGCUCUCCUGCCCCCACACCAUCAGGGCCAGCUCUCCUGCCCCCACACCAUCAGGGCCAGCUCUCCUGCCCCCACACCAUCAGGGCCAGCUCUCCUGCCCCCACACCAUCAGGGCCAGCUCACCUGUACUUCCUGGGCAAGGGGUGGGGCCGCCUCUCCUGUUCUCAUGCCCCAGGGGCCAGCUCACCCUCACCCUCUAUCCCCUAGGAUCAACUCUACUCUGCUGUCCAGGUAAGUGUGGAGCCAGCUAAUCCCAUGCUGCCCAGACAAGAGGUGGGGCCAGCUCUCUUGCACUCAUGCCAUUGGUGCUAUCUCACCUGCGUCCAUUCCACCAUGGCCAGCUCUACAGUGCUGCCCAGGCAUGUGUGGGAGCAAUCUAAGUUGGGGAGCAGUGUUUACACAACACUGAAACAGGAGAGUCUCAGAGUGAGGAUUGUAACCAGCUAUUGGGGGAGGGUAGAGCAAUCA